GGACCUCUCUCGAGAAGAAGAAGAAGAAGAAGAAGAAGAAGAAGAAACAGGACAAUAAGGAAAGUACUUCCGCUGAACGUUCUUCGACGAAGGCUACUUUCCAAAGUUUAGACGUCUUCUCGUCGUACGUAUCUGUCUUGCCACUCGAAGAGCCCUUCCUUUGAAGGCUUUGAAGGAUCCAAAGCAUAGCUGGCUUUCGGCCAAAAGAUCCGACAAACAGACGGAAGAAACAUUGGGCGCCGCGUUCGUCGCAGAUGCUCCGUCGUGUAUCGAGCCACUUGACUUCUGGAAGACGACGUCUUUCGCGUUCGCACGUCAGCGAAACGUCGCUGUAUGAUCGACAGUUGAAACGAAACUCUCAUAGCAUCGACAUUCAUAUCGCCGGUUUAUAUAAUAACGCAAUAUUCACCGGGCUCCAGAUCGCUCAGUUUGAAUUAGAUUAAAGUUCUCUAGUUCUCACGAGUUAUUCCAUUUCCAUUUGUACUAUGUAUCUUCCUGAAAGUCGCUUAUGGGGCGCAUUAUUUCAAAUACAGAAAAUUAAUCAGCUGGCUGUCUUCCACGAGUAUUCGCGUCACGAAGAAAUGGCGAUAUUUUGCGUUACAACGAGUAUACUCGUCGUGCUUAAAAGGUGCUUGCAAUUUGCUUUUAAAUCGCAACUUAGUAAUCGCAGUUAGUCGCAGCAAUAAUAUUAAACGACAAAACAGUCGUUUCUUUGCAGCUUGAUUCUAUAGUAUAGUAUUCUAUAGUCACACGUACUCCGUGUUUGACGAGAAUAUUCGCUUACUUUUGGCCGCGCAUUUUCGAAGAGAUCGCAACAGCCAACUGGUCAAGCAAACUAUAAUUACGUUAAUUGAAAUUAUAUCGUACUUUUAAUAUCACUCGGAACCGGACGAUACCGAACGACGGUUACACUGGAAAGCAGUAAUUUUUUCUCGCAGAUUGCGGUAGGAUUUACAAACGAAGAUUAUAAUUUAAUUCGAAUGAAUACCGCGAACGCGGUGAAACCUGCAAAUGACAGGAUAUCCACUGCCUUUGAGGCGCUCAGCUUUCGCUGUAACCUACGCGACAGACGCAAAAACUUUCGUCAACCGUUUAAGAUUCGGAAAUUGCCGCUGCAACUUGAAAGAGCAGGUGCUCGGACAAGUUUCACGACUCGUAACCCGAGUUGGUCGGCGCGGCUCGUAAGCCGCUGUCGAAAACGAUAGAAGAGCUUUGAGCAGACUGGUCGGCCCAGAAUCAUCUUUGGCAACUUAGUUGGCAAAGACAGCAAACUCCGCCGCCUCUGCAGCUUCUAAACGUCGAGAUAUAUCGCGGUGCUUAGGCGCGAGACGCGGCGAACAGACGAACGACCGGUAAAUCGAAUACAAAUCGCCUCGUCGAUAUUCCAACGGAAAGCUGUACAGCUCGAUCAUUUUACGUAGUUUAUUUUUCGUUUCGCGUUAAUCGAUGAGAAACAUUGAUCGCUCGACUAAAGCGUUAUGGAACUGAAGCAAUUUGACAUGCUGGCCAGGCAAACGACGAUAAACCAUUACCAUACGAAGAGUUUGCUCUGAUAUUUAAAUCGUAUUUAUUAUUGGCAUUUAUUAUUGGGGGCAUUUAUUAUUGGCGAAAGAAAAAUCCAGGCUUCGUAUUCAAAAGCUUGUCGCUAUGGAUAUUAAUGGACUAAUGAAUUUGUAGCGCGUUUGAAAAAGUCAUUUAAUCUCGAGUCGACGUCGUGUUAUUGGUUUACUAAAAAUUACGUAAAACAGGAGCUGCUUCGUACAGUAUCGCGUAUAUUAGUUUCCUUUGAAAUAAAUAAACUCGGUAUAUAAAUAAAAAGUAAGCUUAAAAGACGCGCUUUUAAAAUAUAUUAAAUCGUGGCAAAAGUUUCUCUCGUUUUAUAAGGAAAUAAUGGAUGCGCAACGUGCUUUGUUUUAUAUUAUUUUAUCGAAUUACGAUCGUUUUUUUUUUUUUUCUAUUGGAACAUCAUCCAUAACUCGAUAAAAUUGCAUAAACCAAAAAACGUUACUACUUUUGCCACGAUCUAAUACGAAAUCGUUUAAAAUAUAAUAUCGUUGCCUGGCAUUGAUAGUACCACGGUUCGCUGUUUCGGUAUACCCGAUAAAUUUUCAAACUCGAUCUUCCCGCAAACUAACCCGAGAAUGAAAAAUUGUUAUUCUACGAUACAUUUUUCUCUUAUUUUUCUACAAAGAAUCUGCCUGUUUAUUCCACCUGUGUAAAUGUACACGAGAUACGCAAACUCCGUCAUCUAUUUAUUCCCCAGGUAGAACAAAUUUUUCCUCGCGUACAUUCUACUCCUUUAUUUGUUUCCAUGAAAAUAUGAAUUCGCGCGCAUGUCCACCGAUAAGCAACUCCGUACAGAGUUGAAACGAGACGACCGCCGGUGAAAAUUGCGGCAGAAGCAAGCGAAGGGAUCGCGAAGGAAGGGAACGCAAUUAUCGGAGUCGCGCGAGGCCACGUACACACGUGAGCACAGACGAAACGUUCCGUGGAACUCUUUUGUUCCACUUUCGAGUGUAUCAAGUUAUAUUGUGUACCGGCAAGCAUCGUGCCGGAUGUAGCAAUGAGCGGCGCGGCGAGAGUCAACGAGCCAUUUCCGGGGCCUCUCGCUGCAGAAUAUUACAUUGAUAACAGAAAUUGCCUUCCAAGUGUGCCCGGCUUGUCCAAGACGUUGUCCUCGAGGAGACGACGCGCGACAGACAGAAACGCGAGUUCGAUAUUCGCGUCUCGACCGAUCUUCCAUCGAUACGUGCUUCGAAACUAGUAGUAGCCUGCUCUAUGAGGCUACGGCUCCUGUGUUUUAUAGCGAUCUUCUUUGCUGUCGAAGAUGUUAAUUAACCAUCGUCGAUAAGAGACAGUUAGACGAGCAUAGGAUCGGAUAUGCGUCACGCAAAAACCAGACUCGUGCUUUGAAAACGUCGAUGGUACACGGUCAGCCACCAGGUAGCGUACGUAAGGAAAGAAGGAUUCCUCUGGAUCGAGAAAUCCAUCGAUCGAUCGAUACCAGCGUUGAUAAGUGUUGAGGUUAUUAGAUGUACGAACAGAGGAACGCGUGGAUAAAUUGUAAAGUAGAAAAUACAGGGUGAAGUGUAAGUACAAGUAGGAAUAUAACUUGAGCUGGUUCAGCAGCCAGCAGUGUUACCCUAUAACUGAAAACCCCGGAGCAAUCGUCGCCUGUCUACUGUCUAUGGUCUGCCUUGGUCCCAGUCUAUCGUCUAUACGCUUCGGUGCUUGAGAAAACUAAAAAAAACAGAUGUAGAGUUUUCCUAGAAGCGGUGACCACUUCAACAAUAAGAAAUCGAAAUUAGUGAAAUUCAACUCCGUUCAUGCAAAUCCAUCGAUGAACAAGCAGCGCAUACAUAAUUACGGUAGAACUCCGUGUACCUGAACCCGUCGAGAGACGAGCGGUCUGUCUAUUCCAAGUUCGUACAAUAGCAGCUCCAACUGCCUGUUACUUUUCGUCCGUAAAAUGGGAAGCCGCGUUCGAAUGAGCGAGUUUCACCAGCAAGAGUUGACGUCAAAAUCGAACAUUAACCAAAAUCUUGCAACGAACGAACUUCCAUCUACCAUAACACUGCCUCGUCUACGAUCUUCGUUUAGGUAAAUGGAUGUUUACUGUAACAGAUUUUAACUGGAGACCCGAAUCUUCCCAAGUCAUGAAAGAAUCUUGAAGAUGUCAAGGUCCCGAGACUCGCGACGACCAAAAGAUAAACAGCUCGACGUACGUACGUACGUCUGCGAGACCUAAGUGUACGCGGUUCCGAGAAACGAAAUCCGUCGAUUGAAUCUCGCGAAUUCAUCGAGCACCAUGUCGCCCGUCCCUUCCACCGAUAUUCAAUGGAAUCAUUCAUGCGAGGACGCGUAUACGCUGGCUCUUCGUCUGUCUUUGGAGAUCCGACAGCGGGGUAAAAAGCGCUCGAGUAUAUCCGGCAGGGAACAGCGAUCGGACAACGCCACUCCACCUUAUCGAGGAUUCGAGGAACUUUUUAUCACUGGCCCGCCGCCAGGACGCUGCCCUCGCGUCUUCUUUCGUUUCAAACGUUGACGAAUAUCGCUGCGUAGGAUCACGAUAGGGCUUUUACGGAGAAAUAGAAAAUUCGAUAGGAAGAUAAGAAAGGGUGGCGAUCGUUGUUGACAUUGGAUAUAAAUUGCAGUGAUUUGUUGAUAUUAAAAACAGUAAUGUUUGAUACGUAGCUCUUUAAAUGUAACACCGGAGCACGAAAUAUUCGGGACCAAUUUCUACGAUAGUUCGAAAUAUCUGACUUGAAGAUAAUGAGUUUUCUUUCUUAAUAUAUGUAAAAUAUGUAUGUUUUUUAAUAUAUGUAAAUAUAAUGUAUUUUAAUAUACGAUAUAUGUAAAAAAAAAGAAAUAUUUGGAUACGUUUAAACAAAUAAUGCUCGAGAUCAUCCAGCUGUUAUUUUAAAACAUUUUUCGUUAGAAUCGAUUAAAGAAAUAUGAAAAUAAACAAGUAUAUGGAUAUUUAUGAAAUUUCAUACUUCUUUUCAUACUUUCUUUUAUCAAAGAAGUGGAACUUAAAUAGAGAUUUGUGUUACCCAUUGAAUAUUAUGAUUUAAGCGUCUCAAUAUCUUUCUCAACGAGCAAAACGUGCCACGAUUAUUCACCAAUAAUGUCGUUACUUAAUCUAAAGCCUCUUGAAGAUCGUAGAUUAGUCGUUGAUUUGUGUUCGCUACGUGAAAUAAUUAAUGUUCGUACAAACAGUUCGCCUACUCUUGCAUUGAUUAAUUUUAAUGCACCACUUGAGCCUAUAAGAAAACCGUUGCUAUUUCAAUACUAUACUUGUCCAAGUAUUUCCAUUUAGAUUCUCUAAAUCGUAUUUGCCCUCUGGCUCUCCUCGUCCUUUCUCUAGCCGCGUACAUCUUUUCAUCGAUGCUGCUUUUUCCAAGCGAACAGUCCACCAUAUUUGUCUUAUUAAAUUUACAGUGAAAAUUCGGCUCGAGCUCUUUCGUUUAUUAUAUUUUGCUCCAAUCUUCCUCUAAACGCCUGUAUCCGGAAAUAAUACACGCAAAAUGAUUUUUGUGUUAUAUUAGUUUAUUGAAUUAUGUACGAACGUGAUAAUAAAAAUAGAACGAAAUGGAUCAUACGUAAUU